GGUUCGAUCAUGGCUCCACUGGAACCAGCUGGCGGGAUGCUUUACACAUGCAAGUCGAACGGCAGCACGGUUCCAUUCGGUGGCGAGUGGCGAACGUGAUAAUGUACGAAACGUGCCCAGUAGCGGGGAUAACUACGCGAAAGCGUAGCUAAUACCGCGAUACGCCCUUCGGGGGAAAGCGGGGACCUUCGGCCUCGCACUAUUAGAGCGGUCAAUGACGAUCAUUAUUGCGUAACGGCUCACCAAGGCGACGAUCCGCAGCUGGUUUGAGAGGACGACCAGCCACACUGGGACUGGAGACACGGCCCAGACUGGCUGGAUAUGAGCGGAAUUCUGGAUACCGGGGGAAACUUUGAUCCGCCAUCCUGAAGGUGCGACGAAGGCUUCCGGGUUGUAAAGCACUUUUGGCAGGAAAGAUGGAAACCACGAUAAUAACCCGCAACUGACGGUACCUGCAGAAUAAGCACCGGCUAACUACGUGCCAGCAGCCGCGUACGUAGUAAGCGUUAAUCGGAAUUACUGGGCGCAGCGCGCGAGGCGUCUGGAAAGAAAGAUGUGAACCUGAGCUUAACUUUGGAACUGCAUUUUUAACUACCGAGCUAGAGUGUGUCAGAGAAGGCAGGAAUUCCAGCGUGCGCAGUGAAUGCGUAGAUAUGCGAGGAACACCGAUGGCGAAGUGCGUUUCCCGGGGAUAACACCGACGCUCAUGCACGAAAGCGUGGGGAGCAAACAGGAUUAGAUACCCUGGUAGUCCACGCCCUAAACGAUGUCAACUAGCUGUUGGGGCCUUCGCCUUUAGGCGCAGCUAACGCGUGAAGUUGACCGCUCGGGGAGUACGGUCGCAAGAUUAAAACUCAAAGGAAUUGACGGGGCCCGCACAAGCGGUGGAUGAUGUGGAUUAAUUCGAUGCAACGCGAAAAACCUUACCUACCCUUGAGCAUCUGGAAUCCCGGAAGAGAUUUUGGGAGUGCUCGCAGGGAGAACCGGAACACAGGUGCCAAAUAUUGUCGUCAUGUCAAAGCCGUGAGAUGUUGGGUUAACCCGAACAGCGGCAACCCUUGUCAUUAGUUGCUACGAAAGGGCAUCCAAUGAGACUGCCAGGACAAAACCGAGGAAGGUGGGGAUGACGAGCCUCAUGGUCUUUAUGGGUAGGGUCACACGUCAUUAUCAAACGGUCGGGACAGGGUCGCCAACCGCGAGGGGGAGCCAAUCCCAGAAACCCGAUCGUAGUCCGGAUCGCAGUCUGCAACCUGACUCAGCCGAAUCGUUAGUAAUCGCGGAUCAGCAUGUCGCGGUGAAUACGUUCCCGGGUCUUGUACACACCGCCCGUCACACCAUGGGAGUGGGGUUUUACCAGAAGUAGUUAGCCCGCAACCGUAAGAGGGCGAUUACCACAGCAGGAUCCAUGACUGGCGUCGUAACAAGGU
rnacentral:rRNA from 1 species